rnacentral:lncRNA from 1 species
CCUGGUUUUCUCAUUCAGGGAGAUCAGAGUGUGUGUCUGCUAGCAGCCAGAAUGUCUGGGCCUCUGAAUAAUUCAAGUGCCUCUUUUCAACGACAGUCACCCAGAGGACAAGCUGAUUGCACUUUGGAUGACCCCUGUAUGUCUGGGUUCCUGGACAUGAUGAAUGUCCUCAUUCUGGUCUUCUCUGGGGAAAUACAUACAUACAUACAUACCGUGUUUGGCAGAGGCCUCUGUGUAAAGUCUCAGUUUAGAGUUAGUUUUAAAGAAAAGCAGAAAUGCUUCUCCCUAAGCCUGAGAGACCCCCACUGCACAGGCAACAGGAGCCAUCUCUCCUUCCUCCUUCUCCCCUCUGCUGUCACUACUUUGCCCUGACACCCUGCCUAGCCCCAUGGACAUGCAUUAGUCUCUCUCUUCCUAUCAACUAUGCAAGGCCCUUCAAGCCCCACUUUUGCUUUCAGAGGGCUUCAUGUCCCCAGAGGCUGAGGAGCUUGCUUGUUUAUCUCUUUUUCUAGCUGUACCUGGUCUGAAAAGGGAGACCGCAUGCACCUUACUGCACCCCCUUCCCACCCCAUCCCUCCUCUGCAUAAGGAAAUGGCCCAGGAACCUCUGCCUGCAUCAUCUGUGUCCCGCUCUGAGACAGUGCGUGCCUCGCUCAUAGACCUUCCCCACUCCCGGGGCUGCUGGAGCCCAGCUCUUGGGCCUUCUUGGGACCACCUUCUUCCCUGAAGCCUGGUGCAAAGGAGAGACAAGGUCUCACUCAGAAUCCGAUUCUGUCCUCCAGCCUGGAGUAUGUGGUGCAAUCCCAGAUCUCUGCAGGCUUGAGCUCCUGGGCUCAAGCGAUCCUCCUGCCUCAGCCUCUCAAGUAGAUGGAACUACAGCUAUGGCACAGCAGCCCUGGAAUGACAACCGGAGACUUUGUGCUUGCAAAAGCUUAUCCUUCUUUGCUGGGAGUUCUGGGAUAACGUAGGUCGGAUCAGAAAACGCCAUAUGCUAGUUCACAGGGAAUUUCCAAAGAGCAGCUAGCUCCAGUUGGUUGCUAAGAGACAGCUCCACAGCUGGACUUUGGCUGCAAAAUUUGAACAAAAAAAGAAGAGCACAAAUGAGCUUGCCAGGUAACAGAAUCUGCGAUGACUUCCCGUCCUGUUUGCUGGCAUCUGUGCUUCCAGAAGCAAUAAAGCAUCACUUUCCUGCUUGUGAUUUACAUGAGGAGAAACAGGCAGACACUCUUCUCCAAGGGGUUUCCUGACCAGCCUUGAAUCUGCUAGCCAGAGCCUAGCAGGACUCUGAGACAAUGAGAUUCCUGAUGCUGGUAAUGAAUGAAGGACAAUGAGAUUCCUGAUGCUGGUAAUGCAUGAAGAAAGAUCAGAGUUAUAAGUGGACUAUGCUUCCAUCCUCCCAAGAGUUCUCCUGGGGUUAGUUUAAAGACAGGGGAUUAACUCUAUUAAAAGUAGAUUUGGCAAAAAGCUGAAAUCAAACACAUGCUUAUGAAUAGGGAACGGGUGAAAUAAGUCAUGGUACAUCCACAGAAUGGAGUAUUACUUAGCUAUAAAUAGACAUGAAGAAUCAUCCACAGAAUGGAGUACUACUUAGCUAUAAAUAGACAUGAAGAAUACUUUUAUGUUUAAAAAGUAUUCAUGUUGCUUUUUCUCCAGGAUGAAAUUUUAAGUUAAAAAAAUUGAAAUUGGC